rnacentral:rRNA from 1 species
GACAGAGGGUGCAAACGUUGCUCGGAAUCACUGGGCGUAAAGCGCGUGUAGGCGGCACGGCAAGUCGGAUGUGAAAGCCCGCGGCUCAACCGUGGAAGUGCACUCGAAACUGCCGAGCUAGAGUCUCGGAGAGGAAGGUGGAAUGCUUGGUGUAGAGGUGAAAUUCGUAGAUAUCAAGCAGAACACCUGUGGCGAAGGCGGCCUUCUGGACGAUGACUGACGCUGAGACGCGAAAGCGUGGGGAGCAAACAGG